GAUGAAGAACGCAGCGAAAUGCGAUAAGUAGUGUGAAUUGCAGAAUUCAGUGAAUCAUCGAAUCUUUGAACGCACAUUGCGCCUUUUGGUAAUCCAAAGGGCAUGCCUGUUCGAGCGUCAUUUGUACCCUCAAGCUUUGCUUGGUGUUGGGCGUCUUGUCUCUAGCUUUGCUGGAGACUCGCCUUAAAGUAAUUGGCAGCCGGCCCACUGGUUUCGGAGCGCAGCACAAGUCGCACUCUCUAUCAGCAAAGGUCUAGCAUCCAUUAAGCCUUUUUUUCAACUUUUGACCUCGGAUCAGGUAGGGAUACCCGCUGAACUUAAGCAUAUCAAUAAGCGGAGGA
rnacentral:misc_RNA from 1 species